rnacentral:rRNA from 1 species
CCUACGGGAGGCAGCAGUGAGGAAUAUUGGUCAAUGGGCGGGAGCCUGAACCAGCCAAGCCGCGUGAGGGAAGAAGGUACAGCGUAUUGUAAACUUCUUUUGUCAGGGAAUAAAGGCGGGGACUAGUCCCCGGAUGAGGGUACCUGAUGAAAAAGCAUCGGCUAACUCCGUGCCAGCAGCCGCGGUAAUACGGAGGAUGCGAGCGUUAUCCGGAUUUAUUGGGUUUAAAGGGUGCGCAGGCGGCCUGUUAAGUCAGCGGUAAAAGCCCGGGGCUCAACCCCGGCGAGCCGGUGAAACUGGCGGGCUGGAGUUGGAGAGAGGUGCGCGGAAUGCGCGGUGUAGCGGUGAAAUGCUUAGAUAUCGCGCAGAACCCCGAUUGCGAAGGCAGCGUACCGGCUCCACACUGACGCUGAGGCACGAAAGCGUGGGUAUCGAACAGGAUUAGAUACCCGGGUAGUC